rnacentral:rRNA from 1 species
GACGAACGCUGGCGGCGUGGUUAACUCAUGCAAGUCGAACGAUGAAGCCGGAGCUUGCUCUGGUGAAUUAGUGGCGAACGGGUGAGUAACACGUGAGUAACCUGCCCUUGACUCUGGGAUAACUGCGGGAAACUGUAGCUAAUACCGGAUACGACCCUCGGAGGCAUCUCCUGGGGGUGGAAAGAAUUUCGGUCAAGGAUGGACUCGCGGCCUAUCAGCUAGUUGGUGAGGUAAAGGCUCACCAAGGCGACGACGGGUAGCCGGCCUGAGAGGGUGACCGGCCACACUGGGACUGAGACACGGCCCAGACUCCUACGGGAGGCAGCAGUGGGGAAUAUUGCACAAUGGGCGCAAGCCUGAUGCAGCAACGCCGCGUGAGGGAUGACGGCCUUCGGGUUGUAAACCUCUUUUAGCAGGGAAGAAGCGAAAGUGACGGUACCUGCAGAAAAAGCACCGGCUAACUACGUGCCAGCCGCCGCGGUAA